UAUCUUUCACUGUAACAGCGCCAAAAUGAUUCAAUUUUCUUUAUUUUUGGUGGAAUAUUAAAAAACCGCCUUGGGCGACAAUGGGUUAAUCGUUCCGUCGAGGAUGGGAAACCAUAUUUCUCGAUUUUGAUUCAAGAUAUGCUAAUUUUAGCUACUCCCUUUUAUUGAACUUUUUAUAUAAAUAAAAAAAUGUUGUAACGAAUAAGGUCGAACUGCCCACAAAGUUUUUUUUCUACACGAUUAGCUACUUUUAAGUACUCCUGAGUACAUACAUAUGUAUGUAGAUGUGCCAGUUCAUAGAACGAAUAGAUAAAACCACACCAUGAAAAACCAAUAAUUCAUUAAACAUUUCUAACGCCCCAAAUCUAUCUGCGUAUUUGAAAAUCGCAGGCGACGGAUAGAAGUGAUAUUUAUGUGGGGAGUGCUGGUUCCGGCCAAGUGUUCUAUGUACCCCUGCAAGCAAUCUACGUGGAAUCUAAGGAUUUAUUUUUCUCUUUGCCUGGCUUUCUGGAGCGCCAGUUCCUCUGACUCGGACUCCCUCCCUCGGAUCAGCUGCGGUGAUGCAGCUCGUUCGAGAUCUAGUUCGAAAAAAAAACAAUUCUACCUAUUGUGCAGUGCGGAAAUGAGAAUAUUUCCCAUUGGGCAACCAAUUUUUCAGAAAAAAGUUUGUUUUUUUCGUUUAUAUGAACUUUUUAUUCAAUAAGUGAACGCGAAUAAUUUCUUUUGGUUUGUGUAUCAGUACAAAGCUGAAAACUAAAAUGAGGAAUGCAUUUGCAAUGGCCUGGUCAUUCAUUAUGCGAGAGAUAUGCUAUGACUAUGUUAUAAAUAUAAUAAAGAAUUCAAUAAAGAUGAUUACAACUAUUUUUUUAGCAAUUUA